AGGUGAUAGCGGAGCGGCUGGGUAGGAAGCAAUUGUUCUCAAACUUCACUAGCCCCGUCGGCGCGGACGCUUGUCGAGAAUGCAGAUUCCUGGGUACUGCCAGAUACGAAUUGAGCAUACCACAAAAAAGUUCUCAUUUUGUGUCCUCCCAUCCCAUUCUCCUCACUAACCAAAGCUAUUACUACUGAACUAUUUCACAAACCCAUUUUGAAAGUCAAAAACCGAGCACUGAGUCUUUCUCUGUAAUCCAGCUACACCAACCCUAAUCUUCUCUGAGGUGAUGCACAGCUGUCACUGGGGAGAAAUGGAAUGCCAGGAAAUGCACAAAGGAAAAGCAUCCUGACAAAUGUUUUCAGCCUUAUGCGCCACACCACUAAAGAACAUUGCCACCUGCUGUAGGAUAUGAAGCUUCUGAAGCACAUGAGAAGUAAGAGGAAACAAUGGUCAUGCCCCCAAAGGUCUUGCUCCACAGAACUGGAGGGACACGUUCUGAAGAAUCCCAGAUUGCAUUCCAGAUGCACCCCAUGGAAACAUGGGACUUUGGUCCUUUUCCAACACCAGGUCACAAGGAGAAAGCUCAUUUUGCAGCUACUCACAGUUACUAGCAGGGCCAUCAUCCUUAACAUUUUUCUGUUGACUCAGAUCUCAGUGAUUUGUAGAAGGAUAAAUUAUCUAAGUAUGAAUUUCCUCUUAAUUCUGAAUAGAAUCUUAUAAUAGCCUCUAUCCUGUUACGACGUUCCCAGUAGUCUUAUGAAUUCAGUAGGGAAUAAACCAGCUGUUUCCAUUUCAUGGGGAGGGCGGGAGGAACAAUCUUGGACUUUUUCUUUUUUUCAACCAAUGUUUAUUGAACCCUUAUUGUGAACCAGGAGCUGUAUUAGGCUCUGAGAAUACACAGUUAGCCUGAACCUACAUGAUGCUUAUACUAGGGAAGAAGACACAUAAACAGAUACUUUUAUUAUAAAAUGGUAGAAAUAAUUACUAGGUGUCAAAGGUUCAAAGUUGAAGGGUAUCACUCAGCCUUCCUGGAGGAGCUGAGACUUGAAUUAAGACUUGAAGGAUGGGCCAGAUGCCAAGUGGGGAGAAGAGCUCUGUUGAUCUGUUCAUUGUGGUAUCCCUACCACCCCACCACAUGGUCUAGUACAUGGAAGACAUUUAAUACAGUGAAUUUGCGAAAGAAAUCUCAGCAGAGGAAAUGUUAUAAGCACAAACAAGGCACGGGAAACUAGAAAUGAUUUGGAUUUACGAGAAGAUUAAUCCUUAUAGGAUCAUAGAUUUCUCUGAAAAACUAAUAGAAGCUAUGGUCCGUCUUCCUACCAAAAUUAACAUACACUCAACAUUUAACAGGUAAUUUUAGGGGGAUACAGAUAUGCCUGAAACUUGUACACACUGAGAAAUCUCUGUUAUAGGGAAUUGGGAGCAUUGAGGUUUUUAAAAACAUCUUUAUUUUAUUUAUUAUAAAGUAGGGGAAUGACAUAACUUAGAGUUACUUUGGAUGCAUAGUGAAGGAUGGGCUUAAGGAAGAUAAGACUAGAUGUGGCAGUUCACUUAAGAGGUUGCUGAAAUAAUUCUGGGUGAGUUAGCCAGAACUAGGAGUGAAGACACGGGCAUGGAGAAGAGUAGUGGGGUGAAGAAUACUUUAAGCGGUAAAACUGGCCUUGCUGGUGUUUGGUUGGAUUUGAGAGCAAGGAAUGGGAAGGAGCUAAGGUUGACUUUCAGGUUUUUUGAAGGACAGGGCAGAUGGUGGUGCUAGUAAUUGAGAUAGGAAAUGCAGGAAAAGAGGUUUGGGUCAGGAAUGGGCUGAUGGAGAGUCUGGGGACGGGAGAAAUGAGGAGUUUGGGUUUGGCCAUGUUGAGAUCACUUGAGGCGACCAGGUAAUGACAGAUACGAGCGAAGUGGAAGGAUAAUGGGGAGAUGCUGUAAACUUUAAGGAGCAAAGGAUUAUGGGAGAGUGGAGUGGGGGUCCAGCAUAUGUUUUCACUUAAUUGGGCAGUGAGGAGGACUGGUGGCCACUGAGUCUGAGGAAUGUGGGGAGUAAGAUCAUAAGGCAGCUCCUCAAACAAGGGUUGGCGGAGGGCCAGUGUCUUCAGGAGCUAUGUUAAUUUCCCAGGGCUGCCACAACCAAGCACCACAAACUGGGUGACUUAAAACAACUGGAAUUUAUUGUCUCACAGUUCUUGGGGCUAGAAGUCAGAAAUCAGAGUGAAGCAGGAGAAGAAGGUCUGAAGGCAGGGAACCUGAGGCCAUUUCAUGCAGACUUCCUAGAACUAAAUUCAUGCAGACUUCCUAGAACUUUCCAUGCCUAAGUAACAAAAGGACCAGAGGCUAUUCCCUUUGCAAACCCCCACCUUUUCUGUGUGGCAGAUGGGAAAUCUAAAGUACCUCAAUUUGCAUACGAGUGUAACUUUGUUUGCUUUGGAGUGUAACUUUGUAACUUCACUCCAGCCUCUGAUUGGUUGCUGUCCACAACCAAUCAAAAUGAUUGCAGGCCGAGUCUUCGUUUGCAUAGAAGUGCGGCUUUGUAACUUCACUUCAGUCUCUGAUUGUGGGCCACCACUUCAUUUACAUGAGGUGAGCACCAAGUGGCCAAUGGGAAACCUCUAGGGGGUAUUUGGAUCAGAGAAGAUUCUGUAUCCGGGCCCAUGAGCCUGCUGGUGCCGCUCCCACGCUGUGGAGUAUACUUUAACUUUCAAUAAAUCCUUGCUUUCAUUCUUUCAUUGCUUCAUUCUUUUCUUGCUUUGCUGUGAGUUUUGUCCGAUUCUUUGUUCAAAAUGCCAAGAACCUGGACAACUUGCAGUCAAGACCCUCUACCGAUAACAAAGGUGCUGGCAGGAUCAUGCUUCCUGUGAAAUUUAGCGAAAUCCUUCUGCCUCUUCCUAGCUUCUGGUGGUUUGCUGGCAAUCUUUAGUGUUCUUUGGCUUGUGGAAGCAUCACCUUACUCUCGGCCUGUGUUAUUGCAUGGCGUUCUCCCUGGGUCUGUUUUCUCAUGUGGCCCUCUUAUAAGGACCCCAGUCUUAUUGGAUUACAGACCCAUGCUGCUCCAGUAUCACCUCAUCUUAAUUAAUUACAUCAGCAACGGCCCUAUUUCCAAAUAAGGUCACAUUCUAAGGUACUGGAGUCAGGACUUCAACAUACGUUUUAGCAGGGGAUAAGUUCUACCCAUAGCAGGGAAGUUACUAUUUCUAGUUCAAGGAGAAAACAGA
rnacentral:lncRNA from 1 species